GCAGACCAGAUCGACUGCUGCUUGAUAAACCUAAUAAAACAGCAGAACCUAUUGACAUUCAUGUUCUGCUAAGUAGAAACAUCCCAAGAACAUAUGCAGAGGCCAUAAAUAAGGAUGUCUUCUGGCAGAGGGGCUGAAACAAAUGGAAAGAGGAAGGGACCGCAGAGUAAAUCUGGCGGUCCUCUCAGUGACUGUGGAGCAGUGUUGUGUGUACCAGCUAAAUGCCAUGGCCAAUCCAUUCUCUUCAGCCACAAUGGCUAAGAUUAUGUCAUUUCCAGCAUGGAUUUCCUCAGUAUUUCUUGGUCUGGUCCAGCUGCUGUUCCCUGUAUUAUUUUCUCAAGUGCCAUUUCAACAUCCUCACCCUGGACAUCAGGUACAAAGGUGUCAAGAAUCCUCCAGAAAGAGCGCAGAUGCAGAAAAUUAUGAGAAAACUACAUGGGUUCAUAGUCUCACUACCCCAUUAUGCCUUAGCCCCUACAAUUAAGGAAAUGUCAUCAAUAUCAUUCAUUUGUAUGUCUAUCCAUACAUCCAUUCAUUCAUUAAUUCAAUUAAUUCAUGCAAACAUUUAGUCAACAUCUACCCUGCUGGCACAUUUUAUACAAUCUCAGUGCCUUCUUAGGUGAGUCACAAUGGUGUAAUUUAAGAAAGUCAGUCAAUAAACAUUUAUUAAGCAAACUAUGUUGUAAGCA
rnacentral:lncRNA from 1 species